rnacentral:lncRNA from 1 species
AAGUUCAAUGGAAAUCAUAAGCAUUGACGAGGCAUUCAUAACUAUGGAUACGCAUGUUACUCUUGGCAAGGAUUUACUUAACACAAUCGUGACUAGCGACUUUUACUACUUAUGAAUAUAAGUUAAUAACGAUUAGGUGAAAUUCUCUUAUACUCUAGCAUCAAAAUUCAUGCAUGCAAACUAAGUGUCGACCCUCAACCAACAUACAUAAACAUGUUAUCAAUCAAAUAGAUAAGUAAACCACAUUCACGAUUUAUGAAAUCAUA